UCAGGUAUGUGGAGGCGGGCCGCCCCGGAGGGAGGAGGAAGGAGGAGCCCUCGGUGUGGCAGGGAGAGCAGAGCAGGCCUGGCUUCCGAGGGAGCCUGACGGGGCAGGGCACCUCCAGGUGGCAAGAGCUGCCCACUCGGCACCAUGAGCACCAGCAUCGGGGCUAUUAGGUGAUGGAAGCCUGCUGGGGUUCUUGUCCCGGCGUCCAGAAGGGUUCAGGAACCUGGAAAAGGCGCUGUGCGUAGAUGACAUAGGAAUCCAGAGACUAUAAUAAAGAGUCCGGAGACAAGAUAUAAUUUUGAAAGGCAUUGGGGGCCAGAGGACCUUCCGCUAAAGGGACUGAAGACUCCCUCCGUGUCUAGGACCCUUGCUUUUAUUAACACAAUUUGUCCUAAGGCAAGGUGGAGGCAAUACACUUCCAAGGGUAAGGUUUCAAAGGGUACGGAAGCAUUGUCAGUU